rnacentral:rRNA from 1 species
CAGCAGCCGCGGUAAUACAGAGGAUGCAAGCGUUAUCCGGAAUGAUUGGGCGUAAAGUGUCUGUAGGUGGCUUUUCAAGUCCGCCGUCAAAUCCCAGGGCUCAACCCUGGACAGGCGGUGGAAACUACCAAGCUGGAGUAUGGUAGGGGCAGAGGGAAUUUCCGGUGGAGCGGUGAAAUGCGUUGAGAUCGGAAAAAACACCAACGACGAAAGCACUCUGCUGGGCCGACACUGACACUUAGAGACGAAAGCUAGGGGAGCAAAUGGGAUUAGAUACCCGUGUAGUCCCUGUCUCUUAUAU